AUCGCAGUUCAUUGGUUGUGUUAAUCCAAAUGUAUUAUCUUUUUAUGCCCCCCUUCGAAGAAGAGGGGGUAUAUUGCUUUGCUCAUGUCGGUCGGUCGGUCGGUAUGUCGGUCCGUCCACCAGGUGGUUGUUGGAUGAUAACUCAAGAACGCAUUCGCCUAUGAUCAUGAAACUUCAUAGGUAGAUUGAUCAUGACUCGUAGAUGACCCCUAUUGAUUUUGAGGUCACUAGGUCAAAGGUCAAGGUCACGGUGAC